rnacentral:misc_RNA from 1 species
AACGAAACAAACCCUCCCGUCCGGCUCCGGUCAGGCGGGGGGGCCAGUCUCAAACCCUUUGUCGUCCGACCAUGUUGCCUCGGGGGAGACCCUGCCUUCGGGCGGGUGGCACCCCGGUGGACCAAACCAAACUCUUGCUUAAUUUUGUAGUCCGAGUCGAUUUAAAAAUAAAUCA